AACUAAAAUGUUAGCUAACCCCCUAAUUCAUUUCACCCAAUAAAUAAAACCACAAGCUCAGCCGUGAAACAGAAACUACAGCUAAUCUUUAAAUUAAAAAAAACCCCAAGUGAAACUAAUUUUCUAAAUGUUAGAUGGUUCCAAACCGAUAUGUUUAAUCUAUAAACAUGUUAGCAAACCUAAACAAGAGUGUUUUAUGACAUCAAAGUAAACUGCAAAUCUUUUCCUGUGACAUCUGAAUAUUGAUCAUAAUGAGCAGAAUACGAGCUAAGAAGCAGCUUUUCUAGGAUCCACAGCUUUAAACAGCUACUUUACUAAGCUUAGAGUUUAAAAAUUGGUGUUUUCUUGUGUUUGCUGAUUGGUCUGUCAUGUUUACUGUUGGGAGUCUGUCAACACGGAGCAGAUAAUGAUUGAUGGAGGACGUCAUUGUGACCACUGGAGUCUGUUCGACAACAACAGAAGGAGAAUAUUAGUUUAUUUUGUUUUACUUUGGACUAAAGCAGGCGGAUGAUGUUUGUCAGGAUGGUUUCAGUUUCUCUCCUGUUGCUGUUGCUGUCCGUCCUGUUUUCAGCUCAAAGUUUCGCUGUAAAGACGGACGAGUUUCUCGGCCCUCCAGAGUGUCUGGAAAACAGGUUUACUCGUGAAUUGUGUGACUUGGUGUUCUGUCCUCCAUGGCAGCGCUGCUUCAACGGACUCC